rnacentral:rRNA from 1 species
UACGGAGGGUGCAAGCGUUAUCCGGAUUUACUGGGUUUAAAGGGUGCGUAGGUGGAUUUGUAAGUCAGUGGUGAAAUCUCCGAGCUUAACUCGGAAACUGCCAUUGAUACUAUAAGUCUUGAAUUAUCUGGAGGUGAGCGGAAUAUGUCAUGUAGCGGUGAAAUGCGUAGAGAUGACGUAGAACACCAAUGGCGAAGGCAGCUCACUACGGAGAUAUUGACACUGAGGCACGAAAGCGUGGGGAUCAAACAGG